rnacentral:rRNA from 1 species
UUCCUACGGGGAGGCAGCAGUGGGGAAUAUUGCACAAUGGGCGCAAGCCUGAUGCAGCCAUGCCGCGUGUAUGAAGAAGGCCUUCGGGUUGUAAAGUACUUUCAGCGGGGAGGAAGGCGAUGGGGUUAAUAACCCGUCGAUUGACGUUACCCGCAGAAGAAGCACCGGCUAACUCCGUGCCAGCAGCCGCGGUAAUACGGAGGGUGCAAGCGUUAAUCGGAAUUACUGGGCGUAAAGCGCACGCAGGCGGUCUGUUAAGUCAGAUGUGAAAUCCCCGGGCUUAACCUGGGAACUGCAUUUGAAACUGGCAGGCUUGAGUCUUGUAGAGGGGGGUAGAAUUCCAGGUGUAGCGGUGAAAUGCGUAGAGAUCUGGAGGAAUACCGGUGGCGAAGGCGGCCCCCUGGACAAAGACUGACGCUCAGGUGCGAAAGCGUGGGGAGCAAACAGGAUUAGAUAC